UUCCCCAGGAGUUUCCUUUUCUCCGCGCCGGCGCGCUUGAUUCAGCAUCUCCUAGAGGGAUGCCCUUCUUCUGCGCAGACGCGGUCCCUGUGGCUCCCAUGGGUAAUCCCCAUGACAUCUGCCGUGACAACCACGCCCAUUUUAGAGUGAGGAGCUGCCCCCUAUUCAGCUGUAUAUCAUCUCACUCUGAUUGAGGGCAGCAUAUUAGUGAGCCGCACAGCUGAUCCAUCAGCGUGAGCUCUGCCAGAGGAAUCAGUCCUCGGUAUACUGAGGCAACAGCAGGUCAUAGCAUUUGGACUAAACAGAUUUCUUGGGCAAUUUAUCUGCCUAAUUUCCGGCAGUUACUAUUGCAACUCUAAUCAGUACUGACAGAAAUCUCUUGGGAUGAUCCAUAUCAAUCUCUUUUGAGACUACCUCAUCAUCAAUCUUCCCAUUAUUCCUAC